UACGGAGGGUGCAAGCGUUAAUCGGAAUUACUGGGCGUAAAGCGCACGCAGGCGGUUUGUUAAGUCAGAUGUGAAAUCCCCGGGCUCAACCUGGGAACUGCAUCUGAUACUGGCAAGCUUGAGUCUCGUAGAGGGGGGUAGAAUUCCAGGUGUAGCGGUGAAAUGCGUAGAGAUCUGGAGGAAUACCGGUGGCGAAGGCGGCCCCCUGGACGAAGACUGACGCUCAGGUGCGACAGCGUGGGGAGCAAACAGG
rnacentral:rRNA from 1 species